AUCAAGACGCAUGUGGAGACGCGUUCUGAUGCCAGGUGUGAACAGACUCACUUAAACCUGUCCACUUGUGAUCGGAUCACUGAGGACGCAUCUUAAUACCAGGUCCGAACAGGGCCUAAGUCUGUCUGUCCA